rnacentral:rRNA from 1 species
UUUGUGGAGGGUUCGAUUCUGGCUCAGGAUGAACGCUGGCGGCGUGCUUAACACAUGCAAGUCGAACGGGAUCCAUCAGGCUUUGCUUGGUGGUGAGAGUGGCGAACGGGUGAGUAAUGCGUGACCGACCUGCCCCAUACACCGGAAUAGCUCCUGGAAACGGGUGGUAAUGCCGGAUGCUCCGACUCCUCGCAUGGGGUGUCGGGAAAGAUUUCAUCGGUAUGGGAUGGGGUCGCGUCCUAUCAGGUAGUCGGCGGGGUAACGGCCCACCGAGCCUACGACGGGUAGCCGGCCUGAGAGGGCGACCGGCCACAUUGGGACUGAGAUACGGCCCAGACUCCUACGGGAGGCAGCAGUGGGGAAUAUUGCACAAUGGGCGCAAGCCUGAUGCAGCGACGCCGCGUGCGGGAUGACGGCCUUCGGGUUGUAAACCGCUUUUGAUCGGGAGCAAGCCUUCGGGUGAGUGUACCUUUCGAAUAAGCACCGGCUAACUACGUGCCAGCAGCCGCGGUAAUACGUAGGGUGCAAGCGUUAUCCGGAAUUAUUGGGCGUAAAGGGCUCGUAGGCGGUUCGUCGCGUCCGGUGUGAAAGUCCAUCGCUUAACGGUGGAUCUGCGCCGGGUACGGGCGGGCUGGAGUGCGGUAGGGGAGACUGGAAUUCCCGGUGUAACGGUGGAAUGUGUAGAUAUCGGGAAGAACACCAAUGGCGAAGGCAGGUCUCUGGGCCGUUACUGACGCUGAGGAGCGAAAGCGUGGGGAGCGAACAGGAUUAGAUACCCUGGUAGUCCACGCCGUAAACGGUGGAUGCUGGAUGUGGGGCCCGUUCCACGGGUUCCGUGUCGGAGCUAACGCGUUAAGCAUCCCGCCUGGGGAGUACGGCCGCAAGGCUAAAACUCAAAGAAAUUGACGGGGGCCCGCACAAGCGGCGGAGCAUGCGGAUUAAUUCGAUGCAACGCGAAGAACCUUACCUGGGCUUGACAUGUUCCCGACAGCCGUAGAGAUAUGGCCUCCCUUCGGGGCGGGUUCACAGGUGGUGCAUGGUCGUCGUCAGCUCGUGUCGUGAGAUGUUGGGUUAAGUCCCGCAACGAGCGCAACCCUCGCCCUGUGUUGCCAGCACGUCAUGGUGGGAACUCACGGGGGACCGCCGGGGUCAACUCGGAGGAAGGUGGGGAUGACGUCAGAUCAUCAUGCCCCUUACGUCCAGGGCUUCACGCAUGCUACAAUGGCCGGUACAACGGGAUGCGACACGGCGACGUGGAGCGGAUCCCUGAAAACCGGUCUCAGUUCGGAUUGGAGUCUGCAACCCGACUCCAUGAAGGCGGAGUCGCUAGUAAUCGCGGAUCAGCAACGCCGCGGUGAAUGCGUUCCCGGGCCUUGUACACACCGCCCGUCAAGUCAUGAAAGUGGGUAGCACCCGAAGCCGGUGGCCUAACCCUUUGUGGAUGGAGCCGUCUAAGGUGAGACUCGUGAUUGGGACUAAGUCGUAACAAGGUAGCCGUACCGGAAGGUGCGGCUGGAUCACCUCCUUU